rnacentral:rRNA from 1 species
GUGGGGAAUAUUGCACAAUGGGGGAAACCCUGAUGCAGCGACGCCGCGUGGAGGAAGAAGGUCUUCGGAUUGUAAACUCCUGUUGUUGAGGAAGAUAAUGACGGUACUCAACAAGGAAGUGACGGCUAACUACGUGCCAGCAGCCGCGGUAAAACGUAGGUCACAAGCGUUGUCCGGAAUUACUGGGUGUAAAGGGAGCGCAGGCGGGAGAACAAGUUGGAAGUGAAAUCCAUGGGCUCAACCCAUGAACUGCUUUCAAAACUGUUUUUUCUUGAGUAGUGCAGAGGUAGGCGGAAUUCCCGGUGUAGCGGUGGAAUGCGUAGAUAUCGGGAGGAACACCAGUGGCGAAGGCGGCCUACUGGGCACCAACUGACGCUGAGGCUCGAAAGUGUGGGUAGCAAACAGGAUUAGAUACCCGAGUAGUCC